rnacentral:lncRNA from 1 species
CCUUAAUUACGUUUCUGUGGUUGUUGUGGUGGUUAUGAGUUAAAAAUAAGCCGCGCCUUCGCUUUCCCAGUGGGGGGCCGAGUUUUGCUUUAAUUGCCUCUGUUUGAAUCAAUUUAGGCUCAAUUAUGCUCCUCCUUUCGGUGUAAUGGAGACGCCUGUGCCUGUCUGGCCAAAGCCCUGCAGCAGGCCGAGUGCUGGGCCUCCAUCAUGGCUGGCCUCACGGAUGUCCCCGAGGUGGAUGCCCAGGCCUCCUGCUCAGCUGUGGUGGGAAAUGUUUGUUGUAGCACUUGAGGAACAGAGGACAUCUCACUGUCAUUUUCCUGUGUUGCUGGGAUCUAAGACCAGACUCAUCAGCAAGCAAAAGACUGAUUCUGAGACCUCUGCUUCAGUUGCUUGGAUCCAUGGCCACAAUUAGAGAACUAGCCAUCGGCUGGAUUUUUCAGAGGUUUAAAAUAAUAAAGCACUUCUCAAUUUUCA